rnacentral:lncRNA from 1 species
UGAUGCUGGGAAGCCACACAGGCGUGGACCUGCUUCGCCAAGCAGAAAGCAGGAGAGUGACGCCAUGUCACGCAGAGGCUGGUCCUGCUGGAGAUUUGGGGAAGUCUCAAGGAAAGAUUUAAAUGAAUCUGGGCAUAAUGCUGCCUGCUGUUCAACUCUUCCUGCCUGUUGACCAAAUCACACAAGGGAGGUGUAACCACCCGGUCCUGGUCCUGAAGGUCAAAGCAGCUUCCUGGAAGAAACCGGUUCCAGACAUAAGAGUUUUACUCCAAUAUGGCUUCCAGGAUCCCAGAGGACUUGACUUGGAGAGAGCAUCAUUGGAGUUAAAGGGGCCAAGGUCCGGGGGCCAAGAACACGCCUUGGUGCCAGAAGAAGUUCGUAAGUCUUGAAAUGCAGCAUCUCCUGGGGUACAACUGUCAGGCAGAACUCAUGAUAACAGAGCCUUCAAGAUGGGGAGUGAGGACAGGUGUGGGUGCUCAUGCCUGUAAUCCCAACACUUUGGGAGGCCGAGGUGGUCGGAUCACCUAAGGUCAGGAGUUCAAGACCAGCCUGGCCAACAUGGUGAAAUCCCAUUUCUACUAAGAAUACAAAAAAUUAGCUGGGCGUGGUGGCACACGCCUGUAAUCCCAGCUACUCGGGAGGCUGAAGCAGGAAAAUCACUUGAACCCAGAAGGCGGAGGUUGCAGUGAACUGAGAUCACGCCAUUGCACUACAUCUUGGGCAACAAGAGUGAGACACCACCCGGGUAGUGACUCACGCUUGUAAUCCCAGUACUUUGGGAGGCCGAGGCGAGCGGAUCACAAGGUCAGGAGAUUGAGACCAUCCUGGCUAACAGGGUGAAACCCCAUCCCUACCCAAAAAAAAAAAAAAACAAAAGUCAGGCCUGGUGGCGGGUGCCUGUGGUCCCAGCUACUCAGGAGGCUGAGGCACCCAGGAGGCAGAGCUUGCAGUGAGCCUAGAUCACGCCACUGCACUCCAGCUUGUUUGACAGAGCGAGACUCCAUCUCAAAAAAAAAAACAAAAAACAAAAAAAAAAACAUGGCGAGUGAAUAAGAGCAAUAAAAAUAUUUGAACGUGUGACUCCUACCACUUUUUAACUUAGAUUUUUGGGAA